rnacentral:rRNA from 1 species
UACGAAGGGGGCUAGCGUUGCUCGGAAUUACUGGGCGUAAAGGGCGCGUAGGCGGCACUGUUAGUCAGGCGUGAAAGUCCUGGGCUCAACCUGGGAACUGCGCUUGAUACGGCAGAGCUAGAGGAUGGAAGAGGGUCGCGGAAUUCCCAGUGUAGAGGUGAAAUUCGUAGAUAUUGGGAAGAACACCGGUGGCGAAGGCGGCGACCUGGUCCAUUACUGACGCUGAGGCGCGACAGCGUGGGGGAGCAAACAGGAUUAGAUACC